GCCAGGCAUAGUGGCACAUGUCUGUAAUCCAGCCUAUUUCGGAGGCUGAGGAAAGAGUAUCAUUUGAGCCCAGGAGUUCAAGGCCAGCCUGGGUAACAUAGUGAGAUUCUGAU
rnacentral:sRNA from 1 species